ensembl:lncRNA
UGGAAACCCGUGUGGCAUCCAGCGAGCAAAGCAGGGACAACGGCUGAGCCCGCACCGCGUCUCCGUCCAGCGAGAGGCCGAGGUUGUUCCUGCUGCCCGAGGAAGGCGGCGAGCGGCCCUGCUGUCCGCUCCGAGAGCCCCCGCCCGGCGCCCUUGGGGGCCUGCCUUCGACCGUCAGGGUGGCUCUGGCACCGCAGCUCAGCGCUCUCCAGGCCAUCAGAAACGCCCUCGGCUGAGGUCUGAGGGAUCUGGAGGCACAGAUUGUAAGGACAGAGCAAGGAGGGGGCUAACGGGACCGAGAGCUGCCAGUCAGAGAGGAGCUCUUGCCUCCCUCCAGAAGGGCUCGCGGGAGCUGCUGGAGCUCCGUCACGAGCCACCGUCGUUUGGAAAAGCAAAGCUCACUGAUGUUCAGGGCCUGACACUUCUUAGCGUGACCCAGUCCUCCCUGAAAACUAGAGGAGGCGGAGACGGGCGCCUCCUGUGUCCUUGCCCAGCUUGCCUGAUGGCGCUCUCUCUCUCUCUCUCUCUCUCUCUCUCUCUCUCUCUCACACACACACACACACACACACACACACACACACACACAGCCACGACUAAAGCAAAGUGACAUGCAGCCUUCCUGAAGCAAAAGGCUCGCUGGCCUGGAAGGAAUCGCAGACACCGAGGCCCCAAUCUGUUAGAUUCGGUUUCAUCUCGGAUCCUUCCGGAUAACACACAAAGAAAAAAGCCUCACUUGGAAAGCUUUUGGGUUCUAUCACCAGAACCCACGGCCAAAUGACCUCCCUGGAUCACAAGGUCCCCGGCUCUAAGGGCGAGACUGUAUGUCACGCAGCCAGUCACUCCACAGCAAGUCUGCAUCCAUCUCCACUGCAGGCUAUGCUCCUCCAGUCCUGCAGUGUGGCGUCCACGCCCGGCACAGAGGUCAUGGCCAGGGCUUCAUGGGGCCCGGGAGGAAGACUGCAGGCUCGCCUUUAGGGUGACCUGUCCGGGGGCUGCUGUCAUGCUGGGGACGCUGAGUUACUCACCAGGAAGUCACCUCUGCGGGACUCAGACUGCUCAGGGAGGGCCUGGGCCUGGCCUCCGAUGGCAGCUGCCCCGAGCACACUUCCGGGAAGCCACUCCUGGGACAUCCUUACUUCCUGCUCUCUGCCCAGAGUCUGGAAGGAAGAUGAGGCCUCCUCGGUGGCAGCAUCCAGCUGUGCCUCCCUCUUUCCUGGCCUUCAGCCUGCCUCACCCCUUCCACAGACUCUUCCCUCCUCCGGCCUGGGGUCUUGGUUCCCAGAGCGGGAAGGACCCGGCCCUGCCCACCAGCCUCCUGGCUCCACACCCAUCGCUGGGUCUUCCGCAGAUUGUCUUCAUCCCCUGGCACAAUUGGAGUUCCAGAGAGAGCAAACCGUCUGGGGAGCACUGCGUGGAGCCCCGGACUUCAGGCCCCGGCAAAGGGGAGUGCUCAAUGACCUGAGUCUAUCCUUGUUCGUGGCAGAGUAGUGCUCCACUGCAUCUAAGCACUACAUCCUCUUUAUGCAUUCAUCUGUCGGUGGACACCUAUACGGCAGGAAGAGAGAUCUUUCGCAAAUGAGGAGAGAACCAAGAGAUGAAGAAGAGGGGAGGGGAGAGAGGAGGGGCGGAAGGUGUGUGAUGCACACGGGCCAGCACCCCACAGUGAACGCAACCACGCACUCAAACAUGGACUGAAAAAAUAAAAGUUUGAAAUGAGCCACAAAGACUCCCGACCCGACCCGCGGGCCGUGUGACCGUCAGUGCGUGUUGCAAUUGGCCCUGAGUCUGGGGCCGACGUGCAGCUGUCCCUCACAGAUGUACUCCCCCCCCCCACAUCACUCCAUCCUGCCUGCCAGGGACCAGCCUCUGGGUGACACAGCCGGCAUCAGGGAGGAGGUGUCAGCGGCGGCCGGAAGAAAGCUGAGAUCCUACUUCCCUCCAAAUGGGAGUGGGUGUUGCUAUCCAGGAGGUCUUUAGCUGCUCCCGAAGUAUCGCAGGUGAUGAUGGGCCAGAAGAGAACAUUUUUUAACCCUCAGGGUAGGUCUGACAUAAGGCAGGGGGGCAGACUACACGGUCCUCGUGUUAAAGUUUUUAGUUUGCUUGGAAAUAACCACCCAGCACGAUCUCCUGAGCACUCACUCCAAGCAGAGUGUUGGUCCAGCCCGGGGCUUGGUCAUCCCUGAGCCAGGGCCGGUGCUUCAGGGGACAGCCACCAGCACCCUCCACAGAGAAGCUGAGACUCGGAGUCCCACGGCCGGCCAGCAGGGGGCAGGAGUCCACAGCAGGCGCCCCAGCUCCAGAUCCAGGUGCUUAAACACUGUGCCGUUCAUUUUGGUGAGCGAGGAGGAGGAGGAAAUGUUCCCCAUACUCCCAACACCUGGGAGCGACCACAAAUAAUUCUGAUGUUUUUCGUAACAACACAGAGCUCACACUACACACACAAAUGUGUGUCCUGCGCCUGUGUUUCUCAGUCGACACGCUAUGGGUGUCUUCUGCAAGCGCCGGAAGCAGGCAGGCCACCCUCAGGAUGUGCUUCGAGUCCCAGGUCCUCCCCUGCAGCAGACAACUGCAGGCGCUGUGCAGAGCGAUCCUGAGUCCAGCUGCCCAUCGGGGUGGGUACACAGGGCUCUUCCCGUGUUUGGGAUUUUUGAGUUGCAGUGGAUCCCACCUGGCGUUGUGGCCAGAACAGAGGGUGCAGAGCCCCCAGGAGGCUCGGAAGCCGGAGGGAGGGGACCCGCUGUCUGGAGCCAGGUGCCCCUCAGCGACAUCCCUCCUGAUCAGGCGCUUCACAAAGACAAGAGGACUACUUGCUUUCAGAAGGCUGGGAUUCUGUUGUCUUCAGUAGCGGAGCCUUCUUCCGGAAGCUGUAAAAUUUCAAACCUAAUGCCUGGUAAACUCCUCUAGUGCUUGCGUUUCUUAAACUGCCUCAAGGCUGUAGCCGCAGCCCUUUGCGUUUUUUAUUGUUUCUUUCGGAGCUGUGCGUUUGUGAGUCCUUGUGUGCAGUGUGUCAGGAUCACGCUCAUCCCAGGGAGUCGGUCCAUGCGUGGAACCCACCCUAAUCCCCUCUGCGUCCGCCCCCUCUCUCUGUCUCUCACUCCCCAUCCCUUUCCCAGAAGACCUGUCUCUCUGCGUCCCACUCUCUGGCUUGCAUUUUGCUCUGCUAAGCCGACCUCUCCUGGCCACCUGCCUCUUGGUUCUCACUGGGCUCCACCAUGCCCCCCAUUUCUCUAGAUCCUCAAAGGAACAAAAAAGUCCUUAAUCCCAUAAACACAAAACUAUACUUUUUUAGGAAAAAUAAUUGAAACGAAUUUUUUUCCACUGUGAUGGCUAAAUGACCCAGGAAGAGCAGGUGGCUUUCCGUCUUCUGCUGCUGAGCCUCAAGUCAGGGUGGCCGAGCUGGACGUUAGCUUGGGAAAGGCCAGGCCUGACCAUGGCACUGCCAGCAUGCACCAGACA